ensembl:snRNA U1 U1 spliceosomal RNA
AUACUUACCUGGCAGGGGAGAUACCGUGAUCAAGAAGGCGGCUCAGCCAGGGCGAGGCUCAGCCAUUGCACUUCGGCUGUGCUGACCCCUGCGAAUUCCCCAAAUGUGGGAAUCUCGACUGCAUAAUUUCUGGUAGUGGGGGACUGCGUUCACGCUCUCCCCUG